GGUCUCGUCGCCUAGUGGCUGGGCAGAACUCUGCAAAAGUUCCUACAGCGGUUCGAAUCCGCUCGAGACCU
rnacentral:tRNA from 1 species